CGAGGGGAAGGAAUCUAGACGUUGUCACCUCCAGUUCGUCAGUGCUAGGCUUCUAAGCACUUACAAUGUCAAAAACAACAUGCUGACAAGAUAAUGUUAAAGUUAAUAUAUUUUAAUCUAUCACUUGCCUGAUACUAUUCUAAUGAGGAGCUAAACACAACAAAAUCAGAAAAACCACCUCCUUAAAAGUUCAAACAGGUUGGGCAUGACAGCUCACUCCUAUAAUCUCAACACUUUGUGAGGCCAAGGUGAGAGGACUGCUUGACGUGCCUGGGCAGCAUAGUGAGACCCUAUUUCUACAAAAACAUUUAAAAAAUUAGCCCAGCAUGGUGGAAUGUUCCUGUGGUCCCACUACUUGGGAGGCUUAGGUGGGAGGAUCACUUGAGCCCAGAGUUUGAGGCUGCAGGGAGCUAGGAUCAAGCCUUGGAGACCCUGUAUCCAAAAACAAACAAACAACCCCACUUCAAACAUCAAACAUUUUCUGCAAGGCAGUUUUCUAUUCUAUGUGUGAAACCUUUGUUACGACUCACUGAAAAUAUGCAAAACUCCAAGCUGAGCUUAGUUUUGCCUGUGCACAGAGACCUUUUUACUCUCAUUCU
ensembl:lncRNA novel transcript, antisense to PHF12